ensembl:lncRNA
GUUCUUUUAAACGUCUGGGGUUAUAAUCCAUUUUGCGUAUUAAACACCCACCCGAAUAACCAAAGGGGGUGAUUAUUUGCAUUAUAUUGAGGCAGAGUCUGUGUAUGUGGACACUCACUAUUUGCCCUCUCUUCAGUUCCUCUUGUCUGUCCUCCACAAGCAGAGACUCACUGAUAGACCACUGUUACCAGUUUUAGUGUUGACACAUCCACCCACGUCCCCACCACAAGUGUAUCCUGUACAGACACAGAACAUUGAGAAAAAAAGAGAUGCUGUUGUCUGCUGCCUCAUUAACUACCUCGGUGAAAGACAAGAAGAUCUUUUCCAUGACUGCCAGGAAUGUGAGGACUACACAGACAAAACGAUGAAGGUGAUUGUGAAGCACAAUGUCAUGGCUGAGGAGGAUCCAUCAGAUUUGUCUAUUGUGAUCGAGGGAAACCAAGUGAUGGAAGGAUGUGGAAGCCAAACAAAGGCAUGCAUAAUGCUGAUGGGACUCAUUUAUGCAAUCAACAUCAAAUAUCCAAAGGAGCUGAAGAACAUGUUUGAAGCUUUUCAAAAACUUUUUUUGGAAAUUGAUGGGGCAAAACUACUGAAAAAGGUCCACAGCCUCAAAAAUAAGCUCAUGCAGUAAACACACAUUUCCCCUGUUGUUCGAAGAGGAUCUUUUGUCUGGACAUACUUUUAAUGGAGUUGUAAUGUAGUGUAGUUUUAUAUUUUUCUUCUUUUCCCUUAUUUGCUCCAGACACAGAUCCAUCCACUCUCUCUCAGCCCACUCCAUUGCUCUGUGAUUUCCCCUAGAUUGACAGAAAAGGAAUACCAAUAGAAAGUUGCCGGAAGAAUUUUGAUCUCUCCUUCUACCCUCCCCCC